AGUGAACGCUGGCGGUAGGCCUAACACAUGCAAGUCGAACGGCAGCACAGUAAGCGCUUGCUCUUACGGGUGGCGAGUGGCGGACGGGUGAGGAAUACAUCGGAAUCUACUUUUUCGUGGGGGAUAACGUAGGGAAACUUACGCUAAUACCGCAUACGACCUACGGGUGAAAGCGGGGGAUCUUCGGACCUUGCGCGAUUGAAUGAGCCGAUGUCGGAUUAGCUAGUUGGCGGGGUAAAGGCCCACCAAGGCGACGAUCCGUAGCUGGUCUGACAGGAUGAUCAGCCACACUGGAACUUAGACACGGGCCAGACUCCUACGGGAGGCAGCAGGUGGGAAUAUUGGACAAUGGGCGCAAGCCUGAUCCAGCCAUACCGCGUGGGUGAAGAAGGCCUUCGGGUUGGAAAGCCCUUUUGUUGGGAAAGAAAAGCAGCAGGUUAAUACCCCGCUGUUCUGACGGUACCCAAAGAAUAAGCACCGGCUAACUUCGUG
rnacentral:rRNA from 1 species